UAUGGGGUGGACGUUUUCGCGCGCAUUUUAUCGAUUUUCCGCCACACAUUCGGGAUUGUGUUAUCGCGUGUUUUUAUUACACAUCACUUAAAAUGCAUAUUAUUUAAAAAAGUAUAAAGAUUGUUUAUGAAAGUGAUUUUUUGUACUUAGACUGUUAUGGUUUUUGAACUGUUCGCCAUUUAAACAUAAAAUUGACUGUGGUUUUCUGUUCGUGUAUAUAGAAUCGUGUUUUGGAAGGCGAGUGAGAGUUUCGAUCACAACAUGGUGUGAAGUCCGAAAACCAAAACACGGCAAGGAAAAUCCGAUACCACGACAACAAUCGAACGAUCGACAGAAUAUAAAAGCAAUAACAACCCAACCAUGUGUUCAUAAAAUCGAAUAACUUAACAUUAACCAAAACAAAUUGAAUGUGAAGCUAAUUAAUGCGAAUUUAAAUUUGACGUGACCAAAAAAAAACAUUUGGUUUUUGAAAGGAAAAGUGUGAUAAUUAUUUAAAAAGUAGGUAAAAGAGAAUUUUAAUUCGAACGCCAGGUGCGUUGAUUAAAGAAAAAAAAAAGGAAUUUGUUUUUGAACGAAAAAAAAACUAAUUGAUUGAAGAUAAUAAUGCGAAUUCGAAAUUCGAAUUUCGUGCCCGCGUAAGAGUGAGACGGGUUAAUAAAGACAGAGAGCUGCGUCCAAAAAUAGUGCGUUCGGAAAUAGAACUAAAAAAAUGUCCGGCCCAGACUCAGUAGAGGCACACGAGGCGGCGGAAGCCCACGCCGAAUGGUGGCGGACACCAUGGAAAACUAUGGCUGACUUAGCUGAAGCAGUUGACGAUCUUAUAUGCAGUUUCGAUUAUAUGGACACAGCGAUGGACAACUUAGUGAUGCUGAUAUUCGUAUGGAUACUAAUCUCUAUAAUUAUACUGGGCGUCGCUAAAUGGGCGUACGGAAGAUUCAACAAGAAACCUGUAGAAGAAAAAGUGGAGAAACCAAAGCCGAGCGAUGAAAAGAAGACGGCUAACGAAAUAAUCUCAAGCACGGACAGUAUAUUGGCGACAACUGCUAAAGUUACCAGUAAAUCUGGCUCCUUUAAGCCAUCUAAGCCGACUAGCUUCGUCCCAGCCACGCCACCUAAUAAGAAGAGGCUGGGUCGGAUGUCCCCAGGUCCUGAGCAGUUGACUCUGAAGAAACACCAGAGUGUCGUCAUCCCGUCGUGCACGGGACCAGAUGCCGCGAGCGUCCAGUGGGUGAACGAAAUAUUGACGUGGUUAUAUAAUGAUCUUGUUAUUGUGAAUGAACUUGUGCAGCAAUGGAUUGUGUCUAUGAACGAGUUCUCCAAGAAGUCGGUGGAGGAGCAAGGCAUCGGCGUGGAGUUGGUGCGAGCGUUGGACAGUCAUCCCCCCAACCUGUCCAACGUUUUCUGCGAGUGCGAUACAAAGGAUGACGUGACCAUAACCUGUGACUGCGAGGCUACUCCAGCGUUCCAGUUGAAAGCUUUCAGCCAGCGCGGGGAGAAGGUGGAGGUGUCACAUUACAGGGUUAAUGUUAACAGAUUCCGCGCCCGUCUCCACGUGGUCUGCAUAACGGACAAGUUGACUGGCGAGCUGAAGUGUGACGGCUGGCCGGAUGUCAAGGUGGCCCUCGCGCCCGUUGGACCACUGAGGCCCAACGCUGACGAGUCCGAACUGCAACAGCUCAUAAGUGACAUAGUAGUGAGCGCUCUACGGAACACUCAUCUGUACUUCAACUUCGCGCAUUACCCCACCUGUCCACGCCUCAGACGAUAUGUACCCGAGGCAGGACCGCGGUUACCCCUCCACUAUGACUCUAUGCUGCACUCCGACCGUCAGAACAUGUACACCUCUACCCCGAACUCGACGGCCGGCUGUGUCCAACUGCUGGGCGAAAAAAGGCUCCUAGUUAAGAUCGUCAGUGCUAAAGACAUCGGGGGUAAAACCGGCUGCGUAGCGCCAUACUGCGUGGUGGAAAUGGAUGAACCUCCGCAGAAGAAUCAGACCGGCUUCAAGAAAGACACUACCAGUCCUCAAUGGGAGGAACACUUCCUUUUCGAUCUGUCUCCACAAACAGCAGAGUUGUUGUUUGAGGUGUACGACCGCACGGGGCCGCCGUCUCCUGGAAAUUCUACCUCACAGCAUCGGUUCUUGGGCUUAGGUCUUGUGGGGAUAGACGAGCUGCUGGCAGCACCCUCACAGCGCCAGCAGAUAGGGCUCCAGACGAGACCCAUGGAGGACCACGAUGUCAGCGGAAGCCUCACCGUCGAGUUCCUGUUCAUAGAAGGCGCGGACAUACCGGACCUGGGUUCGAAGCCUUUCAAGAUCAAGGAGAGUCUCCGCACAGUGUCGCCUCAAGGACGUCUCACCACCACCACCAAAACUACUUUCCAGCAAAACGGUCAUGACACCAGUCAGCUUACUGAGUCAGCUCUGCGUGAGCUGGAACUCAGCCCAACCAGCGCAGCCAACAAAUCCACUCUGAUCAUACACUCUGUGCAACGGGAGCCGACGAAGUCUAUCAAGGUGGAAAUAACAGACUCUGGAAAAUUUAUUGAAGUCGAGAGGGAAGCCGUAGAGAGCAAUCUACCGGUCAUAGACAAGCAAGAGUUUAAAGAGCAAAAGAGUGUGACCCCUAACCAAUCUCCCGCCAAAAGUGUAAGGAUUAAAGAAAACGGCGCCAAGGCUAAUGGCGACACAGAAGUGAUAAAACAAGGCGGCUACGUCCAAAUGGAAGCUACACCCGAGCCUGCACCCAGACAAAAGAGAAAAAGGGACUUCUUUGGCACUAUCAAACGGAGGUUAGGCAGAGCGCGAACUCGCGGCGCCUCCUUGGACCUUCAAGACCAGGAUAUGGAGAACCAGCGUAUCAGAAGUAUCAGCGCCGAAAGAAAUAGCCACGACAAAGCUCUCACUCUGCCCAAUAGAAAUGUGUACUCAGCUGGUGCAUCUCCCGCGCAAUCUGGAGAUGAAUCUAGAACUUCACGAAGAUCGUCCCUCAGCGAAGUCUCCGGAUUCAGUACAGCAUCAGCCCGGACCUUCAUCCACGAGGCUUCCACCCUGGUCCUGGAGACCUUAGAGGCGGGGAUUAAGAAGCAUUACCUGGUGCCUUUGACAGUUGCGCAACGAUCCAGAUGGAGGCGAAAAGGCGUAAAGUUGCAUAUUUUUAACGAGCACACUUUCAUCGCUAAACAUCUUAGUGGUGGAACAGUAUGUGAGGUUUGCAACAAGACGGUGGCGCGUCGGCUCGGCAAACAGGGCUACGAAUGCCGCGAUUGCGCCAUGAAAUGCCACAAACACUGCCACGUGAAGGUCCCCAACUCCUGCCCGAAGUCCACCGUGCACAAUAUGGAGCUGUUGCCUACCCAAUGAACACGAGCUUCCCAAGCAGCUUAAAUGGUCCCAUUCCCAUAGUUUUGGAAAUGGAAGAUCCAUGCUACCAGUGCUAAGCGAAUAAAGAAGCUAAGAAGACUGCAAGAAAAAAAUAUAAAAAAAAAUAAAAAAAAUCGCGAGCUAUUCAGGUCCUUUGAAAGUACUAAAGGCUUACAUCACGUCUCCAUACACAGACAAAAAUAUAAGAAUGUUGUGAUCUUCGGCUUAUGCACAAAUAAAUAAAUAAUAAAAAAAUAACUAAUUGAAUGCAGCUAUGCGAAAACAUUCCAAUCGAAUUCACAAAUCUCAAGUCGUCAUUUAUGUACCGGCAGUAUACCUACCCACCGCAACUGAACGCACGUCCGCGCUAGAGUUUCAUAAAUAUGGUCUGAAGAACUGGACUAUAAAAUGCGAAAUAUAUUACGCAAAUCCUGGUCGGUAGAUCUGAAGAUUAGAGCGUUGGACCAACAAACGCAAAAUAUAGACUUUUCUGUGUAAAAAUCCCACAAAGAGAUACUAGAAAGAAUAAGACGUAGCUGCGUCGGAGCCCGAUUUGAAUAAUUGUGGAUUAGAAAGUUUUCGCAAAACUACGUCGAAAUAUUUUUCGAAUGCUUAGAGCGUGAACUUAAUUAUUGUUAGGGUAAUAUACUAGAUUCAAAUACUUUCUAAGAAUUUCUUUAUACAUGAAUAUUUAUAUUUUACUUUCAAAAAGAAUCAGCGGGGUUAAUGACUGUAAUUUCGUGACAAUUACUAAUUUAACGUCACAAAACCAAUUGCAUGCGUUCACUCUCUAAGCUGACGAUUAUUAUAAAUAAUUAUAUAUACUUAAAUUAUUUAAUUUAUUAAGAUUCAAGUACAAGUUUCUCAUAUUGUACGCUACUUACUUAAACAUAUUAUAGGCUUUUUUUACAAAAAUAUAUUUAUAAAUGUAUGUGAAACGUUAUAUGAAAUUGUAUAUUAGGUUUAAGAAACGUAGUAAUCCCAUUGUCCUUUAGGGUUUUAUACGGACAAUUAUUGAUUGUAUCGUAAAAUCGAUGUAACAAUAGAUUUCAAAGUUCUCGCUCUAAUAAGAAAACUACGCCAUGUAACCACAGCUUUUUGAUGCAGUGGUUAAAAAAAACAGCUCUUAUUAAAGUCUCUAUUCUAUUUCCAGUUAAAUUAAUAUAGAAAACCAACUUUUUAACUUGUAUGAAAUAAAAAGUAUGUGGCGCCUAGACGAUGACGAUGGGCUUAUAAAUGAGUCAGUGUUUUGGACUUUAUAGUAACAAAAAAGUCACUGCCAACCAUUAAUAACUGCUUUUCAUUUUAUGAGGAGUUUAUUUUAACUGAAUUGUUCGUAUAAACGUCGCCUUGUAAAAUUUUAUAAAAAUAAAGUUCUUACCGCUUUUCUCACUAUUGGCGUUAAUGUUAGAUUAGCUUAGAAAUCGCUAGAACCCACCUUAAAAACCAUUUCCAAACGCAUCAUUCACUUUAUUACCAUAUUUAUAUUAAAAAUAAAAAAAAUAGCCAAAGUAUAUCGAAAGGAGGAUUUAUUUAAAUCGCUACCUCACUUUGAUGUUACGACAAUACUUAUUAUGUAAAUUUGUUACCAGUAAUAAAAACCAAUUAAAAUAAACUAUUAUUAUUAU